UACGUAGGGUGCGAGCGUUAAUCGGAAUUACUGGGCGUAAAGCGUGCGCAGGCGGUAAUGCAAGACAGAUGUGAAAUCCCCGGGCUUAACCUGGGAAUUGCGAUGGUGACUGCAAGGCUAGAGUUUGGCAGAGGGGGGUAGAAUUCCACGUGUAGCAGUGAAAUGCGUAGAGAUGUGGAGGAACACCGAUGGCGAAGGCAGCCCCCUGGGUCAAAACUGACGCUCAUGCACGAAAGCGUGGGGAGCAAACAGG
rnacentral:rRNA from 1 species